CCUACGGGGGGCUGCAGUGAGGAAUCUUGCACAAUGGGGGAAACCCUGAUGCAGCGACGCCGCGUGAAUGAUGAAGUCUUUCGGGAUGUAAAGUUCUGUCCUACAGGGAAGAAGAAUGUGACGGUACCUGUAGAGAAAGCCCCGGCUAACUACGUGCCAGCAGCCGCGGUAAUACGUAGGGGGCGAGCGUUGUCCGAAUUUAUUGGGCGUAAAGCGCGUGUAGGCGGCUCUUUAAGUCAGAUGUGAAAUCCUGCGGCUCAACCGCAGAACUGCAUUUGAUACUGGAGGGCUUGAGUGUGGGAGAGGAAAGUGGAAUUCCUGGUGUAGCGGUGAAAUGCGUAGAUAUCAGGAGGAACACCCGUGGCGAAGGCGGCUUUCUGGCCCACCACUGACGCUGAGACGCGAAAGCUAGGGGAGCGAACGGGAUUAGAUACCCUGGUAGUC
rnacentral:rRNA from 1 species